rnacentral:rRNA from 1 species
CCUACGGGUGGCAGCAGUGGGGAAUAUUGGACAAUGGGCGAAAGCCUGAUCCAGCCAUGCCGCGUGUGUGAAGAAGGCCUUCGGGUUGUAAAGCACUUUCAGUGGGGAAGAAAGCCUUGGGGCUAAUACCCUCGAGGAAGGACAUCACCCACAGAAGAAGCACCGGCUAACUCCGUGCCAGCAGCCGCGGUAAUACGGAGGGUGCGAGCGAUAAUCGGAAUUACUGGGCGUAAAGCGCGCGUAGGCGGUCUGAUAAGCCGGUUGUGAAAGCCCCGGGCUCAACCUGGGAACGGCAUCCGGAACUGUCAGGCUAGAGUGCAGGAGAGGAAGGUAGAAUUCCCGGUGUAGCGGUGAAAUGCGUAGAGAUCGGGAGGAAUACCAGUGGCGAAGGCGGCCUUCUGGACUGACACUGACGCUGAGGUGCGAAAGCGUGGGUAGCAAACAGGAUUAGAUACCCGAGUAGUC